rnacentral:misc_RNA from 1 species
AAAAAAAAAAAAAAAAAAGAGUAAUAUUUAAAUUUUUAAAAUCUACCAGAUUGGAAUAACCUGUCUCUACGAUCUGUUCUUCACGCCUACUACCUAUUUUCUUCUCUCCCAUAUUCUUUCUUUCUGUUCAAUGUUUGAAUGGCCAUAGCCUAGUUGACAAUAUUAUUUUAGUGUGUUUAUUUUAUUGUUUAGCCAACUCUGUAAUUUUUGUUGCCCCACUUAGGU